rnacentral:rRNA from 1 species
CUACGGGGGGCAGCAGGCGAGAAAACUUUGCAAUGUGCGAAAGCACGACAAGGUUAAUCCGAGUGGUUUGUGCUAAACGAACCUUUUGACAGUCCUAGAAACACUGUUGAAUAAGGGGUGGGCAAGUUCUGGUGUCAGCCGCCGCGGUAAAACCAGCACCUCAAGUGGUCAGGAUGAUUAUUGGGCCUAAAGCAUCCGUAGCCGGCUCUGUAAGUUUUCGGUUAAAUCUGUACGCUCGACGUACAGGCUGCCGGGAAUACUGCAGAGCUAGGGAGUGGGAGAGGUAGACGGUACUCGGUAGGAAGGGGUAAAAUCCUUUGAUCUAUUGAUGACCACCUGUGGCGAAGGCGGUCUACCAGAACACGUCCGACGGUGAGGGAUGAAAGCUGGGGGAGCAAACAGGAUUAGAUACCCGCGUAGUC